rnacentral:rRNA from 1 species
UCUCAGUGGCAGACCAGGCCCAAGUCCCCUGGAAGGGGGCGCCAGCGCCAGAGAGGGUGUGAGCCCCAUUGUGCCCGAACCCUGUCGCACCACGAGGCACUAUCUACGAGUAGGGUUGUUUGGGAAUGCAACCCAAAUCGGGCGGUGAAUUCCUUCCUAGGCUAAAUACGGGCGACAGACCGAUAGCGAACCAGUACCGCGAGGGAAAGAUGAAAAUUACUUUGAAAAGAGAGUCGAAGAGUGCUUGAAAUUAAUGGGAGGGAAGCGGUUGGGGCCGACGAUGCACCCCAGUUGGAUGUGGAAUGGCGACGAGGUGGUCCGCCAAUCGACUUGGGGCGUGGACUAGCGUGGAUUGGGGGCGGCCAAAGUCCGUGCUCUUGAUAAGCUCGUGGAACGCUAUCUCCUCGAUUGUGGCAGGCAGUGCGCGCCUCCGACGUGCUUCGGUUUCUGCACGCUAUAGACUCUGGCCUAUGGGCUCCUCAAUCGACCCGUCUUGAAAAACGGACCAAGGAGUCUGACAUGUGUGCGAGUCAACGGGCGGUAUCCCCCCGAGGGGUGCACCGCCGAUCGACCUUGAUCUUCUAAGAAGGGUUCGAGUGUAAGCAUACCUGUCGGGACCUGAAAGAUGGUGAACUAUGCCUGAGCGGGGCGAAUCAGAGGAAACUAUGGUGGAGGCCCGCAGCGAUACUGACGUGGAAAUUAUUCGUCUAACUUGGGUGUAGCGCCCGCGGCUACUUUGUCAAGCCAUGCCACGGAAUCAAGAGCUCCAAGUGGGCCAUUUUUGGUAAGCAAAACUGGCGAUGCGGGAUGAAUUGGAAGUUGGGUAACGGUGCCAAACUGCGUGCUAACCUAGAUCCCAUAAAGGGUGUUGGUUGAUUAACACAGCAGAACGGUGGUCAUAGAAGUCAAAAUCCGCUAAGGAGUGUGUAAAAACUCACCUGCCAAAUAAACUAGCCUCGAAAAUGGAUGGUGCUUAAAUGUGCGACCUAUACCCGACCGUCGGGGAAAGUUCCAGGGCCCGAUGAGUAGGGGGCGCGGCGGUCGCUGCAAAACCUCGGGCUCGAGCCCGGGCAGAGCGGUCGUCGGUGCAGAUAUUGGUGCUAGUAGCAAAUAUUCAAAUGAGAACUUUAAAGGCCGAAGAGGGGAAAGGUUCCAUGUGAACGAUACUUGCACAUGGAUUAGUCGAUCCUAAAGGUUGGGGGAACCCCAACAGAUAGUGCAUUUCGCGCGUACUCUGAAAGAGAAUCGUGUUAAAAUUCCUAAACUGGGACGUGGCGGUCUACGGCAAUGUUAGGAAGUCCGGAGACUUCGUUAGGAGCCUCGGGAAUGGCUGGGGCGGCAAUUUGUUAUCGCACUUGGUUGAAAAGCUAGUGGCGCAACGCUACCGUGUGCUAGAUUAUGACUGAAUGCCUCUAAGUCAGAAUCCGAGCUUAAAGAGACGCAUGCACCCGUUGUCCGCUUGCCAACCCGCAGUAGGGGCCUCGGCCCCCAAGGGCACGUACCGUUUGCUAAGCCACCACGGCGGAAGAGUCGUGGUGGCCGCCUUGGAGUAUAAUUUCCAUCGAGCGGCGGGGAGAAACCUUUUUCGACUUAAAUAUGCGACGGGGUAUUGUAAGUGGAAGAGUGUCCAUGCUGCCAUGAUCCACUGAGAUUCAUCCCUUUGUCGCUCUGGUUCGU